ACACUAUUGUACCGCCCGAUCCCCACGGGAAGAUCUACCAAACGCACCACCUGUGUAUACAGGGUACUCCACAUCUUAAUACAACGUCGCUUACUCCCUCGAGCAAUGAAUUGGGCAGAAUUGAGGGACCGAGGAAACGAAAAUUCAUGACGAGAGAGAGACAGAGAGAGCGAGAGAGAGAGAGAACAGAAAGAAGCUCAAAAAAACUCAACUCAAUACACUUGAGUUCGCACAAGCGAAACCAGAAUUCAGAGGUCGGCCACGGUUCGCACAGUGCCGGGGAGCUGCACGAGCGCGCGACAGUGGAAGUGGGUCGCUAAUAAAUAUGACAGAGGAAAAUUCAAGUUCACUGUCAAGGUCGUGCGCGAUACGCAGGCGCACCAACCGCCUCGGGAACAUAUCGCAUUGCAGGAGCACGCGAAACGGGCGAAACGUAUCGCGAACAAACCAUCGCCAAAAAGGGUUGGGUGAGGUGGGGGGCGAGGUAAAAGGAGAGAGGUUAUAGACAAGAGGAAGCAGGUAAGGGGAGCACAUACAGAGAUGGUACGCACACCAGCCAAAAAGGGAAGCGUUUCGUACAGUUCUUCAACACACAUUGAUAAUGGGGUGGAAUGACAGAAGGGGGCGCGGGGUGGGGGGGAGGCGAACAAAACAAAAACAAAAACAACAAACUAGCAUCUUGGAGGUUCAUCGCAACGAUCGAAGUAGCCAGCGCGGCAUAAGAAAACACGAGAGCCGGGUAAAAAAGGGAAGCAAGAGAAGAAAAAAAAACAUAAAAACACAUUAACACUCACACGCACACUGAACUGUUGCCUAUUGCCUCCUGUGGGAACAUUCUACUCACUGGCAAAAUGGCGAAGACAUCUUGGAAUUGAUCUACUCGAUCAAUGACGCACCCAUGAACAUGUAUUUGUGUGUGUUCGAGCACGAUCAUCCCCAGUUGUGAAACGGGCGGCUUCCAAUUAUGGGCAAAAUUGUAGGAACUCACUCAGCAAAACAGCUAAAACCGUUUCGAACCGGUCGCCAUUUGCUAUCGAUUAUUGUGCCCCGGCCCUGGUAAGGGCAAGAACUAAUUCAAAGCAGGUCCUAACCCACUGGAUAUCGGAUCACCCUCCCCCUGCGGGAGGGGGGCUGAGGAGUGCAAAACCAAAUUAAACGCUUCGAUUCGUGCGUUCUACUCUCAGCGGGACAUGGUUUUAUAGGCAUUAGCAACCAGUAACGGCCUAAUGUCUACACAUCGUAUGAUGAAUGCAGUUUUAUGUGCGUAUAUAUAUAUUUUUUUACUUAGUCUUUUCUCAUUCUUCUUCCUCUUUGUGGCCUUCCCCGAGUUAGCAUAGGUCAGGAAGGAAAUCGGAACCACAGCUGUCAAAUAGCACCCGUGGAAUGGGGUUGAUCGGAGACCGAUUGGGGUUGUGGGAAAACAAAAAGGGAACUACAACGGGACGGAGGGGAAUCUUAAUGCAUCGAACCGGAUGACAUCAUCAUCAACGUGCGCAUCAAUGGCGUUUGGAGGAUUUUAUUAUUUUAUUUGCCGCAAGCACAAGUUUACCCGUAACUGUUUAGCCACUGUUUGGAAUACGAUAUAAAAGGUAAAAAAAAUGAUGAAACUUUGUGCGCAAUUAACCAAUUUAAGCAAAUGCAACGCGUUACUUGAAGUAUUAUUUGUUGGCAUCUUUCCUAUUAGAGCAACAUUAGCAACAGCAAAAACACGUGCACACAGGGUGGUUUUGAUUGAAUGAAAAUAAUUUAAAACACACAACAAUUAUAUAAUUUAGAGCUUGUCAAUUUAUAACAAAUGCAUUUGUAGUAAUAUCAUACUAUAAAUGAAAGGUGAUAUAAAAUAUUAUUUUAGCAAUAUUUUACACUACACCACCCUGUACAGUUCACCCAAUUGCACAACCUACUUUGAUAGGGUGGAACGAUGUUCCUGUUCAUCCCUUUUCAACACCAUCAGUGAAAAUAUACGUACACACAAACACACACAGCCUCAGCUAUAAGCAAAGUGCAUUGGGGAGGUGGGGGGUUUCCUUUCCUCCCUUCCCACCCGCACGCUCUCUUCUUUCCAUCUCUCUUUCGCUCACCAUACUCUCGCUUUAGCCUUCCCGUUUACGGCUCCCGAAAGGGUCCCCGUUGGCUCGAAACAAGUAACAACUGUAGAACAAAUCGGAAAACGGGGCUGAAUCCAAAACAACAGAACACUGGGCGGUGCGUGUAGGAGGCACAAUCCGUAUGGCAGUGACCAAAACAUACACACACACACACACUGUUAGUCACCGUGGUUGGACGCGUUAGAACGCAAAUUGGAAAUCAAUUUUCGGCCUACCGCCACCCCCACCCCUAUCCGUACGGCUGUACGAGGACGGUGGAACAUUUUUGCAGCCAUUUUCAUUAUCGCCGCGACAGUCGAACGGUGUGGUCGUGGAAAACAACGCACCCAUUCCGAUUCCGGUAAGCUUCAGCAGUAGCAUCCAGUUGAAGGGAAAGCAGGGACAACCCAAAACACAACGCGACAACAAACAAUGGUGCUGGAAUCUGGAAUUUUCCACCGUACGCGGGACAAUUAUAAUGCUAAGUGUAUGUGUGUGUGUGUGUGUGCGUGUGUGGGUGGCCGGUGUCAGUGUGUUUAACAUCUCAGCAAAAGACAAAAUAAUGCAUAAAUAGAACCUUUUUUUAAUUUUAAUUAUAAACCCAAUACAAAACCGAAAUAGGGGUUGAAAAUUAAUGUUUGGAUUUUAUACAAACAACCCCCUUUCCGCCCAUUGUGGAAAUUUCCGCCCGGAUCCAUUUUUUAUUCGAGGUACUUUGAAAAUAAUAAUUUUCCGCCUGCUUCGAUGAUGGAUCGAAUGGUAAAGUAAAAUUAAAUAAAUUUAGAAAAAUCAACAGUAUAACAGCAUCCCCCCACCGCAUAUUCGUGUGUGACAGGCGCGCACGUCGUGCUAAACAGCGACGACGACAAAACGUUCGGGAAUGUCAAGAAAUUGCGUUGUACGAAAAAGUGUGCAAAUUCCCUCGGGAACCUCAGUAAACCCGCGGAUGUGGAAGUAGGUGGGAAAGGGGGUUGAUUAGGAGGUACGGGGGGGUAUGGGGGGUUGGUAGGGUGUGCCGGUACACUGUGUGUGAGGGGACAUGGGGUGGCUGAAUGAUGAUCACGGAGAUGCGGUCGAUGUGUUAGUGCGAUGAAACAGACGACGUGUGUGUGUGUUUGUGUGUGUGUGUAUGCGUGCGCGUUAUCCGUGUGCUGGCACCCGUGUGUUGGAGUAGGGAUUGGAUGUUGUUUGUUUUGUUCCCGCACUCAACCAUCGUCAGCCGAAUGGAGCAGAAGCCGUCGUCGUCGAACUGCCGAGAAUGGUUCCCGGAUCACCUGUGCGUAGUGAACGUCAAUUAGUCGACGUUGACGUACAUAUUGUGCCCGUCGUUCCAGUACCAAUUGGAAAACAUUCCUCUCAAACGAUUACAAGUGUGUUUGUUUUUCCUGUUUUUUUUUUUCUCUCGUGUGUUUUGAAAUUUUAAUGUGCGCUACACGCUUGUGACGUCUAUUUAUCUACUGGUGUUUAAAACUGUGGUAAGAAACAUGUGCAUUUUAGCAACAACAAAAAAGUGAACGUUGACAGAAGUCUGCUAAAGGCUUAACAAUAUUGUGAAAUUCCAUUUAUCAAACGCUUUAUUGGAUAAUGUAGUUUGCACUUAAAAUUAAAUGUCCCGCUUUCCGCAACAAAUUCAUCACAACCGUACCAAGCAUUGCGAUGAAAUGCAACGACUUCGCGUUGUAUUUGUGUGUGUAUGGAUGUGCAACGCUAGAAGGAACAAAAUUCGAUGCUAAUUGAAAUCGAAAGCCACCCUUCUGUGGGGUCGCAUUUCUACCACGUGUGUGUGUAUGUGUGUUGUGUGAAAGUGUGGAACGAUUGUACACGGUUUGGGUGGAUCGAUUUCAUCACCUGAUGCGGUGUCUUCACCAUACCGCAUCCCAGCUGACACGGGACGCAGGCAGAUGGAAUGCACGCGAAUGCACAAAAGCGCCCAGCUCAGCUGCGCAAUGCAAACGACAAACUCGCUGCAGUUAUUGUUGGUCUCCCCUAUAUUCGACGCCAUUGCUUAACGGCGUGUGUUGCUGUGUAUGUGGUUAUGAAAGAGAGAGAGAGAGCAAGAGAGAGAUAGUAAACGGGAGCGAUAAACGAACGAGCGCGAUGGCAGAUGGAGGCCAAUUAAUUCGCUAGUACCAUAAAACAUUCGCAGCUCCUUAGUGCCGAAGGUGAAAAUGAACCGAUGAAACAAUUGCAAACACACGACCACAUCCACCAUCGUGCCAUCGCAUUUACAUUUGCAGCACACAACAUUAAACUCCACGUACACGCAAGCACCAAACGAGGGGGGGAACAACCAAAGUUUUGCUAAGAAGUAGGCCACCACGAAGAAGUCUACCGAAACCGUGGCGGCGCACAAGAUUGUUGUGGAAAGAAAAAAUAUAUAUAUCCCUUCUCACCCCUCCCAACCCCACGCCCAACCCCGCAGCCGUAUCUCUUGUGCCCUUUUGCGAAGCGGGAGCAAAGUAUCGAAAGAUAGAUUGCCCCGUAGAGAUGUGGUAAUUUCAGGCAGCCAGCAAAUUGCAAAUACCUUGAACUUGUAACGGAAGAGCGAUGAAUGGUGCACACGAAGGAAGUGAGUUGAAUGGGAAGGGGUUGUAGGGAAUGGCGAGGGGAACUGGAUAGUUCCUUCACAUCCAUCUAAGGCACACACACACACAUUGCGCCCAACGUCUUCAGAUGAAAGCGAAAGACACAGAAGGAAAGUGUGCGCCAUACACCAUUCGAAGGAGGAAGCGAGUCAAACAGUUCCAGAUGUCUUUAGGUGCCAACAACACAACGGCAAAGGGAGGUAGCAUAAUGUAGAUGUUGGGGCAACAGCUGCUACACCCGGCCGGACGCCUUCUACCCCUCGACCGACCCGUCCCCAUUGGACGUGUGCAACGAGCAGUGGAGCAAGUUGAAAACGGGGAACCAGAUAAUGUGCCAUAGUUGUUAAACUUGAACUUGAACGUGAAACGAGUUCGCUCGUUUGGUAACAUCAACAUGCGCACAGCACACCCAGAUACGUGGUUUGGCGCUAGUAUUGGUGUAACUUCACCCCCAUUCUGCUGCUGCUCCACAUUAUCCCGGACCUGUUUCACCGCGAGUCACCACCCCCCUCUACCAACGCCCCACCGGCACAAAGGUCUCUGACGAACGCACGGUUCGUCUAUCUGUAUCGCGCGCACACACACACACACCAGCAAAGGUUCGGAGCGUGCCAACCAAACACUUGUCUCCAAACCAUGCUCUCCCACCACCACCACCCAAGUCACGCACAACCCCUACGAAACGUGAACACGACACGAUGGGGAUGAUUCAUUUUGUUGAUCUCCCCUUUCGCAGUAUGCAAUCAACAAAAAUGAGUGCCAAACGAGUGCCGAGUGCUCACCGUUGAGUGACUGACGAUUACAUCACACAUCCAGGGCGCAUACAAAAUGUCCAACAUUGGAUAAGUUUUCAGAUGAUCUGACAAACUGGGGCGUUAUUUAUUAAAACAAUUAUUAAAACAUUUUUAAACCUCAUCAACCAAUACCGUCCCUCCCAUCUAUGACCUCUCUAUGCUCUAAUUCCGCACACACACACAAACACCGUGCCAAUUAGAAACGGCACGUGUAUCGGCGGGCGUGAAACGUGACUCGUGAGUCACACGGCACCAUCGACUACCGCUAAUGGCAGCACCGUGUUUGGCGUCAUGUGGGAAGCGAUUGCGCAAAACGUGAGUGCAAAAUACCCCCACCGCACACCCAGAAAAAAGGGCAGGAAUCGUCUUCGUUCCGGUUUCAUCACAAAGGGCACCCGCGUAUGCGGGAGCGUAAUCGUUACGAAACGCAAAUUUUGAUAUUCAAUAUGCAGCAAAGAUCGCACGAAUAUGAGAUCGAGCAAGUGCACCUGCGUUAAUGGAAAGUUUAUGUGAAUAAGAUUAAAAAUAUCUUUUUAUAUGUUUCAAAUUAUAAAAAAACACUCUUCUUUUCUCAUUAUUUUGUGAAUAGAAUGUUAAUUAUGUUUAUUUAUUUAUUUUUAGGAAUUCUUCCUGCUAAACUCAAACAGCCCUGUUUCGUGCCGCUUUAGUCGAACCCUCAGCCACUGGGAUACUCCUUGUGCUCGCUGUGCAUAUCGAUUCAAACUAGUGAACACAUCUGGUGGUAUCUCAGUGGCCGGGUUGAGUUCUUACUGCACCGUGGAAUGCAUCGUGGAAAGAGAGCAGAAAACCAUUUUCCACUGCACUUCUUCAUUCGCCAACAGCCACGCUCGGGACAUGAUCAACGAGUCAUCAGCCAACGGCGCAGUGUCCGACGUGUAUUUUCCGAGCGGGGAAAAUGAGUGACUAUCUCGGCUCGGAAAAAUGAAAAGCUUGACGAGGAAAGCUACUGCUACCGUUGCCAUACAAUAAGCAUUGCAAUUCAUCGCUUCGUUAGCGCUCAUUUACGCCGAUGGAAGCUAAAGCCGACAGCAGCUAACCGUUGUGAGUUGUAUACAAAUUUAAAUCUUAUGUUGUAUACAAUUGUACACUACCCAGGUGUGUGAUUAGUAUUUCUCUAACUAGAAAAACAUAAUUUCUUUUCCGCUACCGACACGUUUCCCCAUGAACCAGCCUAAGUACGGUAGAAAAAAUAACGUUCAAAUAAGGGUUGAAAUAGAAACAGCCUAAAAGUAUGCAACCUGCAUGACGCAAAACGUGAACGGAUUUUCUUUUCGCAUUAGAAAGGAAAACUUUUUAUGUUAUUACAACGACACAUUUGAAUGGUUUGCUGUAAAUUGCUUUUUAAAUUCAGGUACAUUUUCACACACUAAUGACAUUAUUUUGGCUAGCGAAAAAUCGAGUUUUAGUUAAUCGCAACAUAUGGUCAUGGUUACCUUUGCGGAAAAGGUUAACACGCCCAAGAUAGUUGCCCCGUUGCUUCUAUGGUACACAGGCACACAAAUCGGGUGGUGAUGAAUAAUUAAUUUAACUAUCCCAACCCAAAACACUACCCCCCCCCCCCCC